rnacentral:lncRNA from 1 species
AAAUAAAUAAAAAUUAUUAAAAGUCCAAUAAACAGUCCAAAUUACAGAAAUUUUACCAGACCCAAUUUGAAUCCCAAAUACUUAGCCCAAUACAACAAACCCGUAUGACCCAACAUUAGCAAACCCAACUACCCAAAAUCCAAGCCUAAAAUUCACUAAUCCAAAACCAUUUACCCAAACCCGAAUUCCAAGCCCAAACCCUAGCCCAAAUCGGAGGGAUACCCCAGAAGCUUCUAGGGUUUCUGAAAAUCCUUGCGCCGCAGUCGAGUCCAGGCUUCCCUCUGCGCGUGCUGCACCACCGCCAUGCGCCAGCCUCCCCCACGUGCGUCUCGCCUUCAGCUGUGUACCUGUAAGACGAACGAAGCAACAAACAAGCAAGGAGAAGCAAAAUAACAAAAAGGGCCAACGAAAAACAAAAUAGAUUUAUUUUAUUUUAUUUUAUUUGCUGUAAUUUCAUACGAUUUUGGCUAUAAAAGGUCGAUUCAAAGUUGUAAAAAGGGGAUAAGAAUUCAGUGAAAUACGGAAGAAAAAAAUAACAAGGUUUUCAAAAGGUGAUUUUUCGAUCUCCAAUUUUUUUCUUUCUUUCGUUACCUUUAAUUUAUUUUUUAUUUACGAACUAAAAGAAAAAAAGAGAGGGUUGUGGAGUGCUUUACCUUUAGGGCCAGUUUUUCAUUGUUUUUGAAAGGUGCUUUUGAAAAGUGC